rnacentral:rRNA from 1 species
AACGCUGGCGGCAUGCUUUACACAUGCAAGUCGAGCGGCAGCGCGGGGGCAACCCUGGCGGCGAGCGGCGAACGGGUGAGUAACGCAUCGGAACGUAUCCUGUAGUGGGGAUAACGUAGCGAAAGUUACGCUAAUACCGCAUACGCACUAAGGUGGAAAGUGGGGGGAUCUUCGGACCUCAUGCUCAUGGAGUGGCCGAUAUCUGAUUAGCUAGUUGGUGAGGUAAAGGCUCACCAAGGCGACGAUCAGUAGCUGGUUUGAGAGAACGACCAGCCACACUGGAACUGAGACACGGUCCAGACUCCUACGGGAGGCAGCAGUGGGGAAUUUUGGACAAUGGGGGCAACCCUGAUCCAGCAAUGCCGCGUGAGUGAAGAAGGCCUUCGGGUUGUAAAGCUCUUUUGUCAGGGAAGAGACGGUGAGUUCUAAUAAAGCUUGCUAAUGACGGUACCUGAAGAAUAAGCACCGGCUAACUACGUG